UGCAUCUUCUGCACUGGAAGGUGGAUUCUUUAGCACCCAGCCACUAGGGAAACCUAAGGAGAGGGGAGGCAGGGGCUCUUGUGCUUGGAAGUCCCGAGUCAAGACAGACCCCCGAGUGAGCCAACCCGCACCAUGCAGGGGCCGUGCACGAGGAGGAGUCUGCGUGGGAUCAUCUGUGGGUUCGGGACUCUCGGAGGGGAAGUGUGAUCUCAAGGGAGAUUUCCUGAAGAGGCCCAGACCCUGAAGCAUUCUCAGUGACUACAGGAGGAGUACUAACCAGCCAAACUGGUUGAUAAAGAAGCACUGUUAUAAGCCCUGGAAGAUGUUUGGUUGCUAUUCUCAAAGAAGUAGGAAACAAUUUAAACAUUUUAAAAAGAAAUGAGUGUUUGUAUAUAUUUUACAGAAGAAUUCUCUAGUUUAAAACCAGAAUUAUCCCAGCUUUCAUGGUUAGUUAUGGAUUGGAAACAAUUAAUUAAGAGUUACACAGGAAGUUGGAGACUGCUGUGAUGUUGCAGGUGGGAGAUGGUGGUGUCUGGGACCACAUGGUGGCAGCUGGACUGGAGGACAGAAAAGGAAGAGUCUGGAGGAAUCAUCAGUGAUUUCCGGUUUCCUUCCCUUUUCUUCUUUCUUUUUGACAUAAGAACUGGUACAUUAUGAUGACAUCUAUGGAGAUGGGGAUAAUGGGAAAAGAAAAAAAUCAAAGGCAAAAAUCAAGAUUUCUGUCUUAGUCAAAUUUAAGUUUGAAAUGUGUAUUACAAAACAAAGUUCAUAAGAGAGGUGUGUGUGGACUAGAGGCAUAAUUGGGGGAGUUAUUGACACACAGAUAAAGUGUGUACAAUCAUCCUGGUUUGCCCAGGACUGUCCUUGUUGUCGUGCUAAAAGUUCUAAGAUUUGGGGGUCCUCUUACUCCUUGGAAGACUGGAGAAGCUACCUUGGAAGACUGGGGUGACUGGGGUACCAUCUCCCCAUGGUGUAGAUGGUAUUUACACUGUGAAAUUGGAAGAGCUACCAAGGAAAUCAAACACAAGGAUCGCACCAGGCAAGUAUUAAGAGGAGAGAGAAUCUUAGAAGAGCUAAGCAGUGAGGUAGGUAAGGGCAAGACAGAGAAGCCUCAAAUAUCAGGAAACCAGAGGAAGAGAGAAUGUUGGCCGUAGGACGCUAGUGGAUGUCAAGAGGAUGGAAUAGCAGAUUUGGCAAGAUGAUGGUCUUAAGUGACUCUAACAAGAAUAGAUUCUUGGGAGUGAUGGGAAAAAACUUACAGUGUCAUUAAGUUGAAAAGUGAAUGACAGGAUGUGAAUUGCUAAGUACUAAGAAAGUCAUCCUGAGUAGUUUUGCAAUGAAGGGGAACAGAGAAAUGGGCAGUAGUUAGAAAAGUUUAGAAAGAGUAUAAAGAUGUUUAUGAUUUUAUUUGAGGAAGUAAAACUCCUAUGUAAGUGCAGUCAGAUUGCCAGGCAAUUCUGUAUGAAAGUUUUAAGUAUCUGUAUGAAAUGUUAAAUAUCUGUAUGUUUUUGUUGUUCAGUCGCUAAGUCCUAACUCUUUGUAACCCCAUGGGCUGCAGCACACCAGACCUCCCUGUCAAUAUCUGUAUAAAAAUUUUAGCGCAAAUGUGAAGUGGUUUUAUUUCUCCUAAUUGUUAAUCUACAAUUACAUUUAGCUUCUCAGAUGCUGGCAUGAAAAAAGUUUUUAAAUGCUUUCAGCCAAUGUUUACAUUUUUCAAGGGGAAGAUGCUAGAGAAAAAAAGGCAAAGAAGAUAAAAUACUUAAAAGGGAAUAAUUUAAACUAGGAAACAUGGAUUAAAAGCCUGGUUAAAGGGGGAAAAGGAGAUAUAUGUAGGUUGGAAGAGAGUGAAAAGUGAAGUCAAUGGUUUGAUGUUUCAUUGAAGUUAAAGAAUUCUUGCAAAAUGAGUACCUGAGACUGAAAACUGAAUGAACGCAGGUGGCAGCCGGAGAAGGAAGUGACUGGUUUUAAGACUUCAGGUGUGGUGAGCUACUGCUGAUACAACCAGCAUCACUGGCUGGGACGAGGCGGAGGAACAGGUGACGGAAGGUAAGGAAGGGGCUGACAGGCAGAGGAAAUAGUUCAUCCACAUGCUCCUAAAGUUACCAAAAAUGAUCGCAUGAAUCAAGAUGGAGAAGAAGAGAAUGAGUCAACAGUAAAUUUAAGGGAGUAACUGGGUCAAAAUGUGAGAAUAAGGAGAUGCAGCGGGUGGUUUGGUCUGGUGGUACAAGCCGCAUGUGGGACGGGAGUGAUGAGCAGCCAGUGCCUUACCUGGUCCUGUGCUACAUGCCGUAUAACAGGAAAAACCAAAACAGAACUCCUCUGUGUCAGACAAAGAAAACGGUAGCAUCAGGACCGAAGGCAAGGAGUUAAAGACGACAUUCAGUGAAGAGUUGGAAUUGAUACGGAUCCUCAGGAUAACAUAUUCUUAGGAUUGGCUGCCUAAUUUUUCAGGGCCCAAGGCAAAAUGGAAAUGCAGGACAUCAUAUUGAAGAAUCACACACACAUACACACACUCCUAUGAAUACUAUUCAGCCAUGAGAAAACAGGAGAUCAUGGUAUGUGUGACAAUACAGAUGGACCUUUAGGUUUUAUGCUAAGUGAAAGAGCCAAGCAGAGACAAAUACUGCUCUGUGUGAUAUGAUAUAUAUAUGUGGAAUUAAAAAACAAAACAGUAAAACUCAUACAAAUAGAGAAUUGAAAAGAAGCACCCAAAAUGGGAAGAGCGUGGUAAAAGGGUGUAAACUUUCAGCUGUUGGGUGAAUAAAGUCUGAAGAUCUAAAGUAAAGCAGGGUGACUGUAGUUAACACUGUAAGGUAUGGUUUUGAAUCCUUAGCAUUCUCAGUCAUCUUUCAUGUUGCUACUUUCUAAAGAGGAAAGACACUUCAUUCUUUAGGAAGUUUCUAGACAUGGAUUUUUGCCAUGUUGAUGUUUGUAGUGGAUGAAGUAGAAGCCUCAGGGCAUGAGAUGACUUCUGCUUCAUGGAGCCAAUCCUCGAAACCCACAUUUCAAACAAGUGUAUAGUCAGAAAUCAUUUGAGUAAGUUAUCUGAUAAAAGUUUACGAAAUAUAAUUGGGUUUAUGAUGGUGCUUUCACAAAAGAAAAAAGUACUCAUAUAUGGAUGAAUUUUUACACAUUGAAAAACUAUGGCCCUUGGAAAAUUUUGUGAUCGAAUUUCUUAGCACUACAUUUUGCUGUGGCUCUAUACCUAAGGACUCAAUGAUCUCACCAUGAAUUACUUGGCGUGUAAGCCAAAUUGGUUAUCUUAUUUAUGACAGAAUCUCAGCUUAUUCUUUGUCUCCAGAUACUUUCACACUGUUGUGUGUGUGAGGGAUUGGGAGAAGAAAAAAAUGCAAUUAAUUUCAGUCAAACUGAUUAUUUACAAAUCCUUUUUAAAAAAGACACAGCUGGUUGAGUGAUUUAUUGGCUGACGUAAUCUUUGUGCUUAUGGAAAUAUGAAUUGAUUAAUGCUCUCUGUCUAAACUUUGCUUUUGUUUUAAUGGACUAGUAAUAAAUAGGAAUUUUGGUCAGUUUGAUGUAAUCCAAAGUAGAAAACAAAGGACAAGUAAUGAGUGGGCCUCCUAAUUUAUUUUAAGGCACUCCCUGGAGUAGAGGAUUUCCUUUCCAGCUAUGCAUUCUAGAUGACUGUAUCUGUUAGCACAGUUGUAUGUGUGACACCUUGUAAUGGCACAGCUAGGUUAAAGUAGAGAAAAUACAUUCAGACUCUUUCUAGUUUUAGCAUUACUGAAAAAUGGAAUUUUUCAUUAAUUAUAUUUCUUAGUUAACAGAAUUAUUUUGUACACAACACAUUUCAAAGAAUUUAGAAUUCACUAAAAUAUACAGUAGUGCUACUGUAUAAAUUGUAUCUUUCUAUUAUCUUCAUAUCCACCUUCUGGAAUUUAAGUUGAUGAUAGAGUAUAUUUUAGUUGGCAUUAUGGUCUGAAUUAUAUUCCUUUCAAAAUUCGUAUGUUGGAGCCCUAAGCUCCAAUAUAACUAAAUUUGGAGAUGGGGCUUUUAAAGCAGUAAUUGGGAAUUCCACGGACAGAGGAGCCUGACAGGCUACAGUCCGUGGGGUUGCAGAGAGUCGGACAUAACUGAGCAACUAACAGUUUCACUUUACUUUUUCAAGGUUAAAUGAGGUCAUCUUGGAUCAAUAGGACUAGUGUCUAUGAGAAGAGGAAGAGAUUACAGGAAUGCACAUGAACAGAGGACAGGCCAUGUGAGAACAUACCAAGAAGGCAGCCAUCUGCAAGCCCAGGAGAGAGGCCUCAGAAGACAUGAAGCCUGCCAGCACCUGGAUCUUGCACGUCCAGCCUGCAGAACAGUGAGAACAAAGUUAUGCUACUUAAGACACCUCUGUGAGUACUCAGGCUGAUGCCAGUCUGGUUGAGCAAUGCCAACAAAUCAAAGCUGUCAAUGAAGAUGGUAUAUCCCAAAGUUCCUACAGCUUUACGUUCCUCAUCUUACGCCUACUUAAUCACGUGGAUUAAUCACGUGCACUCGGUGAGCUGGCACAACAGGUGGAAGGGGACACGGCAGAGGACACUCACAGGGUAGCCGUCCAGGGGAGGACUGCGCAGUGGCCGUUCUCCCGGUGGGAGCGCCGCGGAUCACAGACACAGCGAAGCACCAGACCUGGAGGCCUCUCCUCCAACCCCAGGAAGCAGACCCCACCCCUGACAGGCGCACGGACGCCCGCAGAGCAGAGGGAGGCCCUGCUCUAUAGCCAGGCAGGCUCUGGUCACCGCCACACCAAUCCGACUCCCUGCUGCUAAGUCGCGUCAAUCGUGUCCGACUCUGUGCGACCCCAGAGACGGCCGCCCACCAGGCUCCCUCCUCCCUGGGAUUCUCCAGGCAAGAACACUGGAGUGGGUUGCCACUGCCUUCUCCGAAUGAGACUCCCCAGCAAGGGGAUGAUCGCACAAGUCUCUAGACCAACCUCACCCACCGGGAAGCAGACACCAGAAGAAGAAGACAGAUGCUUAUGUCAUGCCAGCCCCAGUACCUAACCUACAUCCUAAUGGGAAGGGCAGUGCGGCAAAUACUCUUCUUUCUCUUACUUGGUUCAUUUUAAAUUUAUAGACUUUAAAACUAUUUAUCAACUAACUUCCUUCCUCCCUUCCUUCCUUCCUCUUUUUUCCCAAAUAAUCUUAAAUUUUCUCCUGAGGGGAAUACCAGUUUUCUCCUCACUGUUCAUGUAGUACGUGCUCCCUACUAAUUCUUUUUCACCAUAAACAUAGAGGCUGCGGAUGCCAUUUUUUAAAAAUUCAAAACAACUAAUAGUGGUAAACUCUGUAAUUUCUUUCAAAAUAUAUUCUGCAAAAUAAGUGCUUGACAUUAUAUUGGAAAUAAAAUGCUCAAAUUAAGAGAAGGAAGGAAAUGAGUAUUUAUUCGAGGAUCUACUAUGUGCCAGAAGUUUUCUGUACAUGAAUUCUUUUAAUCCUCAUCACAGCACUGGGUGAGAGCUGUUAUUCUUUCCAAUUUGUGUUUCAGCAACUGAAAUUGAGACACUUGGUAGCUCACUCAGCAUGCCAUAGCUACCAAAUCUGUAUGACUCCAAAGUCAUACAGAUUUAGGAUGACUUUCCCAUUUUCUUAUAUACCAGUGUCCCCUCCCUUAAUUUUGCAAAUGAGACCCAUGAGGUGCAGAGAGACCAGGGGGCUUAAACUGGUGUCUGGGUUUGAAUUGGAUAAUAGGUCCUCUGACUCAGUUCAUCCCACUAAGCCACUGGGAAUACAAAGAUGAGGGGGGGAAACUCAUGAAAUUGACCCUAAAAUUAAAAUUCACAUGAAAAUGUCUGUAAGAAAAUUUACUGUGUUCAUUUUUUUGAGGCAUGGAAUCUGUUAAUAUAUUUCCUGUCUGUUACUGAGAAGAAAAUCUCAUGUGAUUCCUCCUCAUGUUUCUUUUCCUUUAGUGCCAUGAAUGUUAUUUUUAAGAAAUUUUGGAUCUGGAUGCUGGCUACACAACUUUCUCAUCUCCAUGGCACUGGGGCAUAGGUCAGAUUGUGCUGGGCCAAACUCCAAAUAUAUAGCAUGAAUUUUCUAUUUUACAGCUAUUAAGGCAAACUGACCUCAGAAAUUUGUGCAACCGUUCAAAGAAUGAGCCUUAUCUUAUUCUUAUUUCUCUCUCUACCUUUUUCCUCCAACAUCAGAACUGGAACACAGAAGCUACUCCUAGUACAGUGAAUA